rnacentral:rRNA from 1 species
GAUGAACGCUGGCGGCAUGCCUUACACAUGCAAGUCGAACGGUAACAGAUCUUCGGAUGCUGACGAGUGGCGAACGGGUGAGUAAUACAUCGGAACGUGCCUAGUAGUGGGGGAUAACUACUCGAAAGAGUGGCUAAUACCGCAUGAGAUCUACGGAUGAAAGCAGGGGAUCGAAAGACCUUGUGCUACUAGAGCGGCCGAUGGCAGAUUAGGUAGUUGGUGGGAUAAAAGCUUACCAAGCCGACGAUUUGUAGCUGGUCUGAGAGGACGAUCAGCCACACUGGGACCGAGACACGGCCCAGACUCCUACGGGAGGCAGCAGUGGGGAAUUUUGGACAAUGGGCGAAAGCCUGAUCCAGCAAUGCCGCGUGCAGGAUGAAGGCCUUCGGGUUGUAAACUGCUUUUGUACGGAACGAAAAGCCCUGGGUUAAUACCCUGGGGUCAUGACGGUACCGUAAGAAUAAGCACCGGCUAACUACGUGCCAGCAGCCGCAGUAACAC